ensembl:lncRNA
GAUUUUUAGAUAUAAGGGAUGCAACUUUAAAGCAAAAAAAUAAAAAUAAAAAAAUACUUUGAUAGCGGUGCUGAAAUAGAUUGCAGUCAUGACAGCACCGGUUACUCACAUAAUCACGUAAUGCUUUACUUGGAGUUGAAUUGAGAGCUUUUAGUUUGAAAAUUUCUGAACGACAUUAAAAAGAGUCUGUAGCCUGCUUGACACACCUCUGAAAGAGCUGUCAGAAAACGUGAUUCCCCUAAAUGUCCUCUGCCUGGAGAUACUGGGGAAAUGUUGAGGGGUUCCUCUCCUUCGGCCAUCCUACACAGGCCACUGACUACUGCACCAAACAGAGGGGGAGGGCCGUGUUACUCUCUACGCUGCGGGAUUCCUGUACUUUACAUCUUUGGCAGAUUAAUGACAUAGCAACGGUAAAAAUUGUGGUUUUGUAACCUUUACUUUUUCAUACCGUGGGAAACCUUGAAACCGGUACCCGCCAAUGCCUAUCCAUGACCUGAUACAGAAUCCACACAGAUAAAUUUAGAAUGAUAAGAUGCACUGAGAUUUAAGGAUGAUCCAAUACAAUCUAGAUGUGAUUAGUUAUUCAUUUGUUUUGAGUUACUAAAUGAAAGGCUACAGAAAAUUAGGUCUACUGCCACACCAACAAUGAGGCUGUAUGGAAGAACCAAGCUGCUAGCAGCGCAUCGGACAACGAGAUUAACCAGCACGCCAUCCGCUGGUUCAACCUGGCCUCUGACCGUGGAGGUGGCCGCAAAGAACGUGCCAUGGCCAGAGAGGCCAUUCAUUAACCGUGAAAUGAACGCAUCGGCCAUCCCCCACUCUUCCACCACUGAUGAUUUGUUGGGUGUUAUGUGAGAGUUGUGGCAUUCCCACUUCACUUGCCUCAUCAAUGUUUCCUGUAAAGCCACCAAAGAACGCGUAUGAACAUUUUGCAGUUUUUUCUGGGUUUCAUAUGACUAGAGUUGGAUAUUGUAUUUUGGCUAUAAAACCUUUGUUAUUUAUACCAUGGUCAUGGAAAAUGGUUAAAAUCUAAAUGGCUGGCAGGUAUUAUCUAUUAAGACAAACUUAUCGCUAAUUAAAACGUUACAUCUUGUGUGUUUAGGCCGUAGAAUCUCGUUUCUCUGCUGGCUUUAGCUUUUUUUUCUGCUUUAAUUUAAAAAAUAACAAACAAAAAAAACACCUGUGUCAUAGGUAUGUGGUAGUAAAGAAGUUUCUUAUUCCUACAGUUGUCCUGUAGUUGUUCCUACAAGAAGUUUCUUAUUCCUACAGUUGUCCUGUAGUUGUUCCUACAAGACGUUUCUUAUUCCUACAGUUGUUAAAGAGAGAAAUGAGCUGUAAAAUGUGUUUCUGUCCUGUCUUUUUAUCUCAG